rnacentral:piRNA from 1 species
UGAACCUUCACUGUAUCUGAUACAACGUU